rnacentral:RNase_P_RNA from 1 species
UCAGGGGGCCUGAGGCAGCCGCGUGUGCUUGUCCGUGAAAGCGGGCGGGGGCGCGAGGAAAGUCCGGGCUCCACGAAACAAGGGUGGCGGGUAACGCCCGCCGGCGUCCCGGAAGGGGCGCAAGGGAAAGUGCCACAGAGAGCAAACCGCCGAUGACCCCAUCCGGGGGACAGGCAAGGGUGAAAGGGUGCGGUAAGAGCGCACCGGGGGGCUGGCAACAGCAACCGCAUGGCAAACCCCACCCGGAGCAAGGCCGAAUAGGGGCCGCGCGCCCGUCGCAAGUCGGGUAGGGGAGUUUCGCCCCGAGCGGCCCGGGUUGGCUGCUAGAGCGCCGGAGCAAUCCGGCGAGCAGAUGAAUGGCUGCCACCGCAGGCCCGUCCGCAAGGAUACCGCCUGAGGAGACAGAACCCGGCUUAUGAUGGCCCCCUGAUCUU